AGUGAACGCUGGCGGUAGGCCUAACACAUGCAAGUCGAACGGCAGCACAGGAGAGCUUGCUCUCUGGGUGGCGAGUGGCGGACGGGUGAGGAAUACAUCGGAAUCUACUCUGUCGUGGGGGAUAACGUAGGGAAACUUACGCUAAUACCGCAUACGACCUACGGGUGAAAGCAGGGGACCUUCGGGCCUUGCGCGAUUGAAUGAGCCGAUGUCGGAUUAGCUAGUUGGCGGGGUAAAGGCCCACCAAGGCGACGAUCCGUAGCUGGUCUGAGAGGAUGAUCAGCCACACUGGAACUGAGACACGGUCCAGACUCCUACGGGAUGCAGCAGUGGGGAAUAUUGGACAAUGGGCGCAAGCCUGAUUCGGCCAUACCGCGUGGGUGAAGAAGGCCUUCGGGUUGUAAAGCCCUUUUGUUGGGAAAGAAAUCCAGCUGGCUAAUACCCGGUUGGGAUGACGGUACCCAAAGAAUAAGCACCGGCUAACUUCGUGCCAGCCGCCGCGGUAA
rnacentral:rRNA from 1 species